rnacentral:misc_RNA from 1 species
UACCCUUGACAUGUCCGGAACCCUGCUGAGAGGUGGGGGUGCCCGAAAGGGAAUCGGAACACAGGUGCUGCAUGGCUGUCGUCAGCUCGUGUCGUGAGAUGUUGGGUUAAGUCCCGCAACGAGCGCAACCCUUGUCCCUAGUUGCUACGCAAGGGCACUCUAGGGAGACUGCCGGUGACAAACCGGAGGAAGGUGGGGAUGACGUGGGGAAUGUCGAUA